GAGGGUAUAGCUCAGUGGUAGAGCAUGUGCUUAGCAUGCACGAGGUCCUGGGGAUUGAACCCAGGACCUCCA
rnacentral:tRNA from 1 species